UACGGGGGGGGCAAGCGUUGUUCGGAAUUACUGGGCGUAAAGGGCUCGUAGGCGGCCAACUAAGUCAGACGUGAAAUCCCUCGGCUUAACCGGGGAACUGCGUCUGAUACUGGAUGGCUAGAGGUUGGGAGAGGGAUGCGGAAUUCCAGGUGUAGCGGUGAAAUGCGUAGAUAUCGGUAGGAACACCAGUGGCGAAGGCGGUCUCCUGGGGCAUUCUUGACGCUGAGGCGCGAAAGCUGGGGGAGCGAACGGG
rnacentral:rRNA from 1 species